rnacentral:rRNA from 1 species
CGGAGAAUGUUAUCACGGGAGACACACGGCGGGUGCUAACGUCCGUCGUGAAGAGGGAAACAACCCAGACCGCCAGCUAAGGUCCCAAAGUCAUGGUUAAGUGGGAAACGAUGUGGGAAGGCCCAGACAGCCAGGAUGUUGGCUUAGAAGCAGCCAUCAUUUAAAGAAAGCGUAAUAGCUCACUGGUCGAGUCGGCCUGCGCGGAAGAUGUAACGGGGCUAAACCAUGCACCGAAGCUGCGGCAGCGAUGCUUAUGCGUUGUUGGGUAGGGGAGCGUUCUGUAAGCCUGCGAAGGUGUGCUGUGAGGCAUGCUGGAGGUAUCAGAAGUGCGAAUGCUGACAUAAGUAACGAUAAAGCGGGUGAAAAGCCCGCUCGCCGGAAGACCAAGGGUUCCUGUCCAACGUUAAUCGGGGCAGGGUGAGUCGACCCCUAAGGCGAGGCCGAAAGGCGUAGUCGAUGGGAAACAGGUUAAUAUUCCUGUACUUGGUGUUACUGCGAAGGGGGGACGGAGAAGGCUAUGUUGGCCGGGCGACGGUUGUCCCGGUUUAAGCGUGUAGGCUGGUUUUCCAGGCAAAUCCGGAAAAUCAAGGCUGAGGCGUGAUGACGAGGCACUACGGUGCUGAAGCAACAAAUGCCCUGCUUCCAGGAAAAGCCUCUAAGCAUCAGGUAACAUCAAAUCGUACCCCAAACCGACACAGGUGGUCAGGUAGAGAAUACCAAGGCGCUUGAGAGAACUCGGGUGAAGGAACUAGGCAAAAUGGUGCCGUAACUUCGGGAGAAGGCACGCUGAUAUGUAGGUGAAGUCCCUUGCGGAUGGAGCUGAAAUCAGUCGAAGAUACCAGCUGGCUGCAACUGUUUAUUAAAAACACAGCACUGUGCAAACACGAAAGUGGACGUAUACGGUGUGACGCCUGCCCGGUGCCGGAAGGUUAAUUGAUGGGGUCAGCGCAAGCGAAGCUCUUGAUCGAAGCCCCGGUAAACGGCGGCCGUAACUAUAACGGUCCUAAGGUAGCGAAAUUCCUUGUCGGGUAAGUUCCGACCUGCACGAAUGGCGUAAUGAUGGCCAGGCUGUCUCCACCCGAGACUCAGUGAAAUUGAACUCGCUGUGAAGAUGCAGUGUACCCGCGGCAAGACGGAAAGACCCCGUGAACCUUUACUAUAGCUUGACACUGAACAUUGAGCCUUGAUGUGUAGGAUAGGUGGGAGGCUUUGAAGUGUGGACGCCAGUCUGCAUGGAGCCGGCCUUGAAAUACCACCCUUUAAUGUUUGAUGUUCUAACGUGGACCCGUGAUCCGGGUUGCGGACAGUGUCUGGUGGGUAGUUUGACUGGGGCGGUCUCCUCCUAAAGAGUAACGGAGGAGCACGAAGGUUGGCUAAUCCUGGUCGGACAUCAGGAGGUUAGUGCAAUGGCAUAAGCCAGCUUGACUGCGAGCGUGACGGCGCGAGCAGGUGCGAAAGCAGGUCAUAGUGAUCCGGUGGUUCUGAAUGGAAGGGCCAUCGCUCAACGGAUAAAAGGUACUCCGGGGAUAACAGGCUGAUACCGCCCAAGAGUUCAUAUCGACGGCGGUGUUUGGCACCUCGAUGUCGGCUCAUCACAUCCUGGGGCUGAAGUAGGUCCCAAGGGUAUGGCUGUUCGCCAUUUAAAGUGGUACGCGAGCUGGGUUUAGAACGUCGUGAGACAGUUCGGUCCCUAUCUGCCGUGGGCGCUGGAGAACUGAGGGGGGCUGCUCCUAGUACGAGAGGACCGGAGUGGACGCAUCACUGGUGUUCGGGUUGUCAUGCCAAUGGCACUGCCCGGUAGCUAAAUGCGGAAGAGAUAAGUGCUGAAAGCAUCUAAGCACGAAACUUGCCCCGAGAUGAGUUCUCCCUGACCCUUUAAGGGUCCUGAAGGAACGUUGAAGACGACGACGUUGAUAGGCCGGGUGUGUAAGCGCAGCGAUGCGUUGAGCUAACCGGUACUAAUGAACCGUGAGGCUUAACCUUACAACGCCGAAG